rnacentral:rRNA from 1 species
CCUAAGGCUAAAUACUCUCUAGUGACCGAUAGUGAACCAGUACCGUGAGGGAAAGGUGAAAAGCACCCCGGAAGGGGAGUGAAAUAGAACCUGAAACCGUGUGCUUACAAGUAGUCAGAGCCCGUUAAUGGGUGAUGGCGUGCCUUUUGUAGAAUGAACCGGCGAGUUACGAUUUGAUGCAAGGUUAAGCAGUAAAUGUGGAGCCGUAGCGAAAGCGAGUCUGAAUAGGGCGUUUAGUAUUUGGUCGUAGACCCGAAACCAGGUGAUCUACCCUUGGUCAGGUUGAAGUUCAGGUAACACUGAAUGGAGGACCGAACCGACUUACGUUGAAAAGUGAGCGGAUGAACUGAGGGUAGCGGAGAAAUUCCAAUCGAACCUGGAGAUAGCUGGUUCUCUCCGAAAUAGCUUUAGGGCUAGCCUCAAGUGAUGAUUAUUGGAGGUAGAGCACUGUUUGGACGAGGGGCCCCUCUCGGGUUACCGAAUUCAGACAAACUCCGAAUGCCAAUUAAUUUAACUUGGGAGUCAGAACAUGGGUGAUAAGGUCCGUGUUCGAAAGGGAAACAGCCCAGACCACCAGCUAAGGUCCCAAAAUAUAUGUUAAGUGGAAAAGGAUGUGGCGUUGCCCAGACAACUAGGAUGUUGGCUUAGAAGCAGCCAUCAUUUAAAGAGUGCGUAAUAGCUCACUAGUCGAGUGACACUGCGCCGAAAAUGUACCGGGGCUAAACAUAUUACCGAAGCUGUGGAUUGUCCUUUGGACAAUGGUAGGAGAGCGUUCUAAGGGCGUUGAAGCAUGAUCGUAAGGACAUGUGGAGCGCUUAGAAGUGAGAAUGCCGGUGUGAGUAGCGAAAGACGGGUGAGAAUCCCGUCCACCGAUUGACUAAGGUUUCCAGAGGAAGGCUCGUCCGCUCUGGGUUAGUCGGGUCCUAAGCUGAGGCCGACAGGCGUAGGCGAUGGAUAACAGGUUGAUAUUCCUGUACCACCUAUAAUCGUUUUAAUCGAUGGGGGGACGCAGUAGGAUAGGCGAAGCGUGCGAUUGGAUUGCACGUCUAAGCAGUAAGGCUGAGUAUUAGGCA